GUCUACGGCCAUACCACCCUGAACGCAUCCAAUCUUGUCCAAUCUCGGGAGCUAAGUAGGGAUGGGCUUGAUUAUACUUGGAUGGGAGAAAAAUAGCCCACUGGAAAAAAGGGCAGUGAAUC
rfam:Macaca fascicularis chromosome 2, whole genome shotgun sequence.